AUAGUAAAUAUGAGCCAAGGAUGACUUGCCGGUUGUGUAACAACAAUCGGCUAAAGUCCUUUUUGGCUCUUAUUUACUAUUU
rnacentral:pre_miRNA from 1 species